rnacentral:rRNA from 1 species
CAGCAGCCGCGGUAAUACAGAGGGUGCAAGCGUUAAUCGGAAUUACUGGGCGUAAAGCGCGCGUAGGUGGUUUGUAAAGUUGGAUGUGAAAGCCCCGGGCUCAACCUGGGAACUGCAUCCAAAACUGGCAAGCUAGAGUACGGUAGAGGGUGGUGGAAUUUCCUGUGUAGCGGUGAAAUGCGUAGAUAUAGGAAGGAACACCAGUGGCGAAGGCGACCACCUGGACUGAUACUGACACUGAGGUGCGAAAGCGUGGGGAGCAAACAGGAUUAGAUACCCCAGUAGUCCCUGUCUCUUAUAC